rnacentral:lncRNA from 1 species
GUUAUUGAUGAUACACAAGAGCACAUAAAGACCACCUAAAAGAAGAGACCUUGGUCAUCCUUUGUAUAAUCCUGAUGUUUGGCCAUCAUUUUGUUUUACGAGUUGGUCUUCCAUUAUCUGAUUAAAAAUUUUGUACAAUAAAUCGAUAGAUCAACCAUCUUAUUCAAGAUGCCAUCAUACUAAUUAUAUUAGACAUUCAACAUUCAACAGUGGAAUGAGGAUGAAAUUCAUCAUAGAAGGUUAACUAAAUAACUUUAGAUGUUGUACAACAAAUCAAUGGAUGUAUACAGUUCCAGGGCAGUACAUUUUUUAUCCUUUUCAUGAAUAUUGCCAACAAUGCAUCAGGACUUGAGUAUAUCAAAAAUUGGUAAAAUACAUAUAUUUUACUGGUUUUUCAUCAGUGGAUUUCAUCGUUUUUAAAUUUAAACAAGAAAAAAAAUUUCAUUGGGUCUCUGAGUUAUAUUUUUUAUGUUUUUUUUUGGUAUGAUACUAUGUACUUAGAACAUUAUGUUGUUCAAUGGUGAACUGUCAUUUUUCUAUAAUAUCUUGACUCUCAUAUUUCUUCAUUAUGGGAAUGAUAAACAUCAUUCAUUGAUUCUAUAUUCAAUUCUUCCAUUGAUUGUAUUUCUAUAAGUCUUCUUUUAUUUGUAUUAUUUUCUUAUGGUGUCAUUUUUCUAAUACUUUUUUUGCUCUUUUAAUUGUUUAUACAGAAUUUUAGUUUUAAUGGAUUUAUUUCCAAGUCAUUUUUUUGCAGAUCAUAUGCCAUGAAUUUCUGUGAUGUGUUUCUGAUGUAAAAAAACUGACGUCCACAGCUGAUGUCACUUCUGGCUUUUCUAGUAUUUUGCCAAGUAACAUCGACUCCAGAGCAUCAUAGCUAGCCUCCCCUAAGAGGAGGAAACCCGGGUCACCCCCUAACCCUGAUGUUCGGCCAUCGAUGACCUAUGUAGCAUGCAUAGGUACCCAAGGGAGUCACCACCCUCUGGUUUACGAGCUAGGUGUUCUAACGCUAGAGGCUUCGGCCGGAUACGACCUGGCACCCAAGCUACGAGACUUCUUCGUGCACGUAUCCCGUGACGUCUCGACGGUAGAGGGGGCGGGAUAUCGGACACAUUGAAGAUGACGAGGGGGGUCCGCCUGUAGGGGGUCCCGGUGGAUGUCCGUUCGAUGGGUGACGAGGGUGACCCGAGACGAGGCUGCUUAGCUGGGAUGGGAACUGACUGGCGAGGCUUAAUCGUCGGCCAAGGGUUAAAUCUGAUGAAGGGAGGCGAACCUAUAUGCUCUGGAGGAUUUUUUCUUUAUGUGCUUUAUGUCAUAUAUUGACCAGAUAUUUCUGAGAGGAGGCUAAGCGUAGCUUUUUGUCAAUUCCCCAUUUCUUAUUGACCAUAUAUUUGUUUACUUUUUUCUCUGGCUUUUGGCCUACCUCUGUUAUAAAAUUUUUGUCUGUUAUAUUCUCUUUAUUAAUGCAAUAUCAUCAUUCAUCAAUUCUAUGAACUCCUCCUUUUUGUGUCAUUCUUCUGAGACACAUAUUUCAUCAAUUCUAUUGUCUGUUUAGCAUUAUAGCUAUUUAUUUAUUUUCAUGCCAUUCUUUCCCAAUUCAACUUCCAUGUUUAUGCCAUUUUAUCCAAUUCAUCAUAUCCCUAUUUAAUUUUUUCACUUAUAUUUUCUUUAUUAUUGGAAUAUCAUUCAUUAAUUCUGUAUAAUACUCU